AAAAUGAUAUCAAUAGGCGGAUAUUACACCAUAUCUUUUCAUAUAAACUCUGAGCUUGUCAAGUAUUAACAAAUGGCCAAACAUACACGGCCAACGAUCGUCAGUUCUAAUUGAUCUCUGGUGAUAAGAAAUAAUGAACAGAAAACUAGAUUACCCAUAGCACAGUAGUGAUAGCUGUGUACAUAAGUAAGAGGUGGCCGGGGACGGAUGGCGGGGGCCAGUUGUAACAAUCACCUAACAGAUCCCUGGUUGGGGGGGGGGCACGGGUCUCAAGUGGAGGGUUCCAAGUUGUGACUGGAGAGAGGGAAAGUGUCUAAAACGGAGAGGGGACUUACCGGCGAACCUGGCACUGUGGGGG